rnacentral:rRNA from 1 species
AGGUCUCGUCAUAUAUUAUUUAUUGAUUUUAUAAAUAAUUAACAUAUAAUUCAUAUUACUAGAAAUAAUUUUAGUAUAUGAAAUUUUACUUUGAGAAAAUUAGAGUGCUUAAAGCAGGCAUAAUAUGCCUUGAAUACUCCAGCAUGGAAUAAUAUGAAAGAUUUUUAUCUUUCUUAUUGGUUCUAAGAUAAAAAUAAUGAUUAAUAGGGACAGUUGGGGGCAUUUGUAUUUAACAGUCAGAGGUGAAAUUCUUAGAUUUGUUAAAGACAAACUAAUGCGAAAGCAUUUGCCAAGGAUGUUUUCAUUAAUCAAGAACGAAAGUUAGGGGAUCGAAGACGAUCAGAUACCGUCGUAGUCUUAACCAUAAACUAUGCCAACUAGAGAUUGGAGGUUGUUCCUUACUCCUUAGCACCUUAACA